rnacentral:tRNA from 1 species
ACCGGCUUGGUAUAGGUUAAGUACGUGAGAUUGUAAAUCUUGAGGGGGGAUUUCCAGUCGGAG